rnacentral:rRNA from 1 species
GAUACCAACUAUGGCUACCACUGGUCCUCCGUGCCCGCCGUUGUGCGUGCUUGGGCGAGAGUAGUACUAGGAUGGGUGACCUCCUGGGAAGUCCUCGUGUUGCAUUCC